GCUUACGGCCAUACCACCUUAGGCACGUCCGAUCUCGUCUAAUCUCGGAAGCUAAGCAGGGUAGGGCCUGGUUAGUA
rnacentral:rRNA from 10 species